rnacentral:tRNA from 1 species
AGUUGCGCCCUGGGGGAAAUUUGUCUUGAAAACAAAUUUGAAGUGUUCGAUUCACUUGGUAACUU